ensembl:lncRNA
AUACUGUUGUAUUCAGGAGAAGCUGGAGUGCUACCAGACCUCUGAGGAAAGUCUCGAAGUUGAGCGUCGCCGUAUGAAGGAGACCUGUGAGGCCACGGAAGCUCGAGCUGCCAAGCUGGAACUCACACGCUGGGGGUUGGGGGGAGAGCUGCAGCAUGCCCAGCUCUGAGCCACAGAGAUGGAGUCAGAGGUCAGCUCACUGCAGGAACGCCUUAACAAACUCCGCAGAGAACUGAGAGACAGUGAAGAGCGUGCUUCCCUCCUGAAGGUUGAGGGUGAGAGGUUGGCAACUGCCUUGGCACACACAGAACUGCAGGAGAGCCAGUUGAGGGAGCAACUGCAGGCCAUGGCUGCAUCCCUGACUGAAAGCAAUGCUGCUGCAGGAACAGCACAGGAUCAGGCUGCUCAGCUGCAGCAAGUUCUCACAGCCAGCGAACAUGACUGGAAGAUGCUGCAGGUCAGUUUUGGUUUUAUAGUGUGCAUACGUUUGCAGUUUGAUAACUGCCUUACAAGUCUGACCAUAUACAAGCAAUACCCUAGCACCAAAAGUCCUACAACAGCAAGACAGAAGACAAGCUUGAACAACUCAACUUGA